ensembl:lncRNA LINC00642 long intergenic non-protein coding RNA 642
GGACUACUGUGUGCAGUUUGGAUUCCUCCAGGCUUAAAAUCGGCUUCCAUCCCCAACUCUCCAGCUCCCCGUCUCCACCCAGGCCAUUUGAACGAUCUUGUUGAAAAGCACAGUGGUUUCCAAAGCAAAUCCAAGUCUUGUGCGGCUCUGGGCUGAGGGUCCCACGCUUUUCACCCAGACCUAUAAUCAUCACAGAUGUUUAGAGGAGGUGACCAAUGACCCCCUCUGCGGGAGAACCUGCGGCGAAAGGCAGAGCCCCAGAGCAGGGUCUGGAGUGGCAGGACCGGCAGCCAAUGAAGGUGAAGGCCGAGCAUUACAUCAUCACCGUGGUCUCCCAUUGGUUUACAUCCUGGGCUUCCUGACUCCGCCUCCCAGCCUUAACAAUGGGCCUCUCUGCUCCCCAGGCUUCUGACCCUGGUGCCAGCUUUGCCCAGAAGGCCACAGUCGGGCAGAGUCCUGGGCUAGGCGGGAGCCCGAGGUCUGGGCUGAGCCACUAACUAGGGGUGAGGCAUAGUGUUGCCAGGUGUCAUCUUCCUCACCUGCAAGAGGAGAGGGUUCCAGCUGUUAAUCUCGGGUUCUGCCGCAGUUCACCCACCACCACACACUCGCCCAUGAACGUCCUCCUCGCAGACCCCGGGGACCCUGGCCGGCCAGGGGUCUGGUCUGCCAUGGGCUCCCUUUCCUCCCCAGAGCCUGGCAGGAAGUGAACAUAUGGAAUGAUGGUUAAUGUUAACUGAUGUUUUCUAAAGAGCACACACUGGGCUAAGCCUUAUACAUUAUUUUAUUCGUGUCCUAAAUAUUAGCCCCCCACGCAGCCCUAAUUGUUCAGAGACAAGCACUGACUCUGAGGCUGGGCCAGGUUGAGUGAUGGCCAAGGCCACGGACCUGGUGAGGGGGACAGUCAGGAUUCGAACCCAGGCGGCUGGCUCCAGAGCCCUUCAAACGAUGCCAUGGGAAUGGAUGGGGGUCACUAGCCUCCCUAUUGUGACUCGUUUGAGCUCUUAGCCCGGCGUGUAGUCUGGCGGGAGCCGUCCCUGGAUGGGGGUCACUAGCCUCCCCAUUGUGACUCGUUUGAGCUCUUAGCCAGGCGUGUAGUCUGGCGGGAGCCGUCGCGGCUGGCUCGGCAGCUCCAGGCUAUUCCGAGGAACAGUCUUCAGAGAGCCUGGGGUGCUGAUGGGGAAAAGCUGUUGCUGAGAUUUGACAAGUUUGGUCCUGAGAUGUCAGAAAGGAUUUCAGCUCUUCUGCCACCCCAAGGACGGUGGCGCGUAAAUCACAGUGAGCUGGCUUAUGUCAGGUCAACUGUGGAAUUUGAUCCUAGCGCAUUGCUCCCUCCUCUUCCUUGCCUGCGUCUCUCCCUCUCUCAGCUCUAGUUUGAGAUCAGCACAGAUUCCCUGGGUGAUUUUUGAGAAAACUGCCUCCUCUUUAGGACUUGGCAUCCCCUAACCUGCAUCAGGAAAGGGUGGCGACAGAUACUCUCACACCCAGGGAGGCUGCAAGGCCCACCCUCUACCCUCCACCUGGGUUCUCUGGCGUCGAGACUUGUGCCCUACAGUUCUGGGCCGUUGGGGUGAUGUCCCAGUGGGACCAGGGUGAGGGUGCAGGUAUCUGAGGGAGUAGUAGGACCAGAACCUCUAACCUUAGGGAGGCUUCCUGGGAGCCAAGCUUGGUGACUUAGAAUGUGAAUGUCUGACCCAUAUCCCACUACCUUUUGGUGGGUGCUGCAGAGGACAAUGGAGAGAGAGUCAACUCUGAAGAGUGGUCUUGUGGAAGAGGCAGCUGGCUGGUUCAGUGUGGCACUGGCAGCCUCCCUAAGGUUCCCAGGUAGAAGUUUCUGACAGGUAGAUUUCAGCUGUGUUUAAGGAAGAACUUUGAAGUUGUCAGAAUGAGCGGUCUUGUGAUAGUGAGCUCCCUGUCUCCAGAGGCAUGCAAGCAGGACACUUUCACAUAUGCAUUCAAGAUGACCUAUGCAAGGCGUUGUGCUAAGUGCUAGGAGUGCAGAGGAGAACGAGACCCAGUGGGGAAACAGGCACUUGCAAUGCUGCUGUGAGUGUGAGCAGAGGUCAGCGUGGGCAUCUGGAGCACAGGGAGGGAGUCCUGAAGGCUGGGUUGAGGAUGAGGAUACAGCUCAUUGCUGAGCCUUAUGGUGAACCAGAAGUUUACCAGGCAGACAGGAGCUGGGGAGAGGGCUGGCAUUCGUCCAUUCAGGUUAUGUUUUCUGAAUUAUAUAUAGAAGGACAUGUUGCAGAAGAAAUGCAAGUACAGUGAAGAAUAAGACUGGGGAACUUUUACAAUUCAGAGUGGCCUUCACUGUGGGCGGUCCGAAUUGAUCCCUGUAUACAGGUGCUUCUGGGGUGACAUUUUCCCUGCUCCAUGGAGCUCCGGGAGGAGUGCGGACCAACCCCUUCUUUGCAGGCCUGUCUGUGGGGUGCCACUCCUCCUCCCACCUCCCCACUGCACAGACAGCCCAUCAGUGUCCCUGAGCUGCUCCAGAAGGAUGCAGCUCUGAGGAGGCUCUGGGAGCGGUGUAUCCUAGCAACCUCUGAGGCUGGCAUCUGCAGGGCUAGGCCCAGACUCAAGGCUCUUUCUAAUUUGCCAGCCUUCCCUUAAUGAUAAGCUUUCCCACACGGAUGUGGAGUGGGGAGGAAGAGGGGAGAAGUGGGCAGGAAGUGUUGCCUCCAACCCCAUCACAGAGUAGGUCAAGCCUCGCCCACAAUACUGCCGGGGAUGGGGAAGGAGGGAGGGCACAGUGAGUCCGUUAACUGAAUAUGCCACUUGUCCAUCACCGUGGCCGGUUUAUCACCAUUUAGAGGACAAUGAAUCCAGGCAGUGAUCCACCAAUGAUAACUAACAUCAUAAAAAGAUACAUGGCCGGAUAUGAUGUUCCUUCUGACGGAAGACCACAACACCUGCUGAAAAAUCAAAUCUGAAUCGGAUCAAGCCUCUAGAGGUAACUCCCAGCUAUAGGAAUUAGAGAACUGGGGGGCAUGUUAAUAUGUCAAGGUGUUUAACCCUCACCACAGGGAGGCGGCCAGAUUUCCUCUCAGGAAAAAAGUUACAGGUUUCAUCAACAA